rnacentral:rRNA from 1 species
CUGGAAAGAUGAAUCAAAGAAGGUAAUAAUCCUGUAGUCGAAAAUGUUGUCUCUCUUGAGUGGAUCCUGAGUACGACGGAGCACGUGAAAUUCCGUCGGAAUCUGGGAGGACCAUCUCCUAAGGCUAAAUACUCUCUAGUGACCGAUAGCGAACCAGUACCGUGAGGGAAAGGUGAAAAGCACCCCGGAAGGGGAGUGAAAUAGAACCUGAAACCGUGUGCUUACAAGUAGUCAGAGCCCGUUAAUGGGUGAUAGCGUGCCUUUUGUAGAAUGAACCGGCGAGUUACGAUUUGAUGCAAGGUUAAGCAGUAAAUGUGGAGCCGUAGCGAAAGCGAGUCUGAAUAGGGCGUUUAGUAUUUGGUCGUAGACCCGAAACCAGGUGAUCUACCCUUGGUCAGGUUGAAGUUCAGGUAACACUGAAUGGAGGACCGAACCGACUUACGUUGAAAAGUGAGCGGAUGAACUGAGGGUAGCGGAGAAAUUCCAAUCGAACCUGGAGAUAGCUGGUUCUCUCCGAAAUAGCUUUAGGGCUAGCCUCAAGUGAUGAUUAUUGGAGGUAGAGCACUGUUUGGACGAGGGGCCCCUCUCGGGUUACCGAAUUCAGACAAACUCCGAAUGCCAAUUAAUUUAACUUGGGAGUCAGAACAUGGGUGAUAAGGUCCGUGUUCGAAAGGGAAACAGCCCAGACCACCAGCUAAGGUCCCAAAAUAUAUGUUAAGUGGAAAAGGAUGUGGCGUUGCCCAGACAACUAGGAUGUUGGCUUAGAAGCAGCCAUCAUUUAAAGAGUGCGUAAUAGCUCACUAGUCGAGUGACACUGCGCCGAAAAUGUACCGGGGCUAAACAUAUUACCGAAGCUGUGGAUUGUCCUUUGGACAAUGGUAGGAGAGCGUUCUAAGGGCGUUGAAGCAUGAUCGUAAGGACAUGUGGAGCGCUUAGAAGUGAGAAUGCCGGUGUGAGUAGCGAAAGACGGGUGAGAAUCCCGUCCACCGAUUGACUAAGGUUUCCAGAGGAAGGCUCGUCCGCUCUGGGUUAGUCGGGUCCUAAGCUGAGGCCGACAGGCGUAGGCGAUGGAUAACAGGUUGAUAUUCCUGUACCACCUAUAAUCGUUUUAAUCGAUGGGGGGACGCAGUAGGAUAGGCGAAGCGUGCGAUUGGAUUGCACGUCUAAGCAGUAAGGCUGAGUAUUAGGCAAAUCCGGUACUCAUUAAGGCUGAGCUGUGAUGGGGAGAAGACAUUGUGUCUUCGAGUCGUUGAUUUCACACUGCCGAGAAAAGCCUCUAGAUAGAAAAUAGGUGCCCGUACCGCAAACCGACACAGGUAGUCAAGAUGAGAAUUCUAAGGUGAGCGAGCGAACUCUCGUUAAGGAACUCGGCAAAAUGACCCCGUAACUUCGGGAGAAGGGGUGCUCUUUAGGGUUAACGCCCAGAAGAGCCGCAGUGAAUAGGCCCAAGCGACUGUUUAUCAAAAACACAGGUCUCUGCUAAACCGUAAGGUGAUGUAUAGGGGCUGACGCCUGCCCGGUGCUGGAAGGUUAAGAGGAGUGGUUAGCUUCUGCGAAGCUACGAAUCGAAGCCCCAGUAAACGGCGGCCGUAACUAUAACGGUCCUAAGGUAGCGAAAUUCCUUGUCGGGUAAGUUCCGACCCGCACGAAAGGCGUAACGAUUUGGGCACUGUCUCAACGAGAGACUCGGUGAAAUCAUAGUACCUGUGAAGAUGCAGGUUACCCGCGACAGGACGGAAAGACCCCGUGGAGCUUUACUGUAGCCUGAUAUUGAAAUUCGGCACAGCUUGUACAGGAUAGGUAGGAGCCUUUGAAACGUGAGCGCUAGCUUACGUGGAGGCGCUGGUGGGAUACUACCCUAGCUGUGUUGGCUUUCUAACCCGCACCACUUAUCGUGGUGGGAGACAGUGUCAGGCGGGCAGUUUGACUGGGGCGGUCGCCUCCUAAAAGGUAACGGAGGCGCUCAAAGGUUCCCUCAGAAUGGUUGGAAAUCAUUCAUAGAGUGUAAAGGCAUAAGGGAGCUUGACUGCGAGACCUACAAG